CCCUUAGAUGUCCGGGGCCGCACGCGCGCUACACUGAAGGAAUCAGCGUGGCUUUCUCCCUGACCCGAAAGGGUUGGGAAACCCGUUGAAUCUCCUUCGUGAUAGGGAUUGGGGCUUGAAAUUGUUCCCCAUGAACGAGGAAUUCCCAGUAAGCGCGAGUCAUAAGCUCGCGUUGAUUACGUCCCUGCCCUUUGUACACACCGCCCGUCGCUACUACCGAUUGAACGGUUUAGUGAGGGCCUCGGAUUGGUCUCGGCCCGCUCUUUACCGGGCGGCGCCGUUGGUCGAGAAGACGCUCGAAUUUGAUCGUUUAGAGGAAGUAAAAGUCGUAACA
rnacentral:rRNA from 1 species